UAGUACGGCGAGUGAGAGGGAAGAGCCCAAGAUUGAAAGCUGGCGUCUUCGGCGUCCGCAUUGUAAUCUCAAGAAGUGUUUUCCGCUUCGGACCAUGCCUAAGUCCCUUGGAAAAGGGCAUCAUAGAGGGUGAUAAUCCCGUACAUGGCAUGGAGCGCCCGAAGCUUUGUGAUACGCUUUCUACGAGUCGAGUUGUUUGGGAAUGCAGCUCAAAAUGGGUGGUAAAUGCCAUCUAAGGCUAAAUAUUGGGGAGAGACCGAUAGCGAACAAGUACAGUGAUGGAAAGAUGAAAAGAACUUUGAAAAGAGAGUUAAACAGUACGUGAAAUUGCCAAAAGGGAAGGGUAGGAGGUCAGAGAUGCGUCUUGGAAUUCAGCCUUGCUUUUGCAUGGUGUUUUUCCCAAGUUGCAGGCCAACGUCGGUUUUGGGCACUGGAGAAGGGUAGGAGGAACGUGGCACCUCUCGGGGUGUGUUAUAGCCUCCUACUGGAUACAGCGACCGAGACCGAGGAACGCAGCGUACUCGUAAGAGCGGGCCUUUUGGCACCUUUACGCUUAGGGCGUUGGCAUAAUGGCCCUCUACCACCCGUCUUGA
rnacentral:rRNA from 1 species